rnacentral:lncRNA from 13 species
GAUUUUAACUUUGACUUCCGCUAGUCUGACAAAGUACAGGAAGCCUGUUCCCUCCCACUGUGGCCUGCUCUUACCAGCUGUUUAGAAUGCGUUCUGCAGACUUCACCGGGGCUCAUGAGAUAUGCAGCUUUCAACACAGAAAGGUCUGAAUGGCAGCUGUCCAUGUGGGUCUCACUGGGCUAAGAUCAAGGUGUCAUCAUGGCUGCAUUCCUUUUGCAGGCUCUAGGAGAGAAUUCAAUUCCUCACCUUCUCCAACUUCUAUAGGCCAGCUGCAUUCCUCGGCUCAUGGCCCCUUCCUCCAUCUUCAAAGCCAAUAGAGUUGCAUCUUCUUAUCUCUCUCUAUGACUCUGACACUCCUGCCUCCCUCUUAUAAGGGCACAUGUGAUUGCAUUGGAUUCACCACAUAAUCCAGGAUUAUCUUCCCUUGAAGAUCAUUAGCUUAUUCACAUCUGUCAAGCUGUACAGGAAGCAUGGCUGGGAAGUGAGGCCUUAGGAAACUUACAACUAGAGGGAAGGCAAAGGGGAAGCAGACACAUCCUACAUGGCUGGAGCAGGAGGAAGAGAAGGAAGAGAUCUCAUAAGAACUCACUCAGUAUCAUGAGAACAUCAGUCUGGAAAAGACAAAAAGAGGGACAGUGGUUGCCAAGUGCUGGGGAGCGGCCAGAGAAGUUGAUUACCAAAGAGUGCAAGGGAAUUUUUUGUGGUGAUGGAAAUAUUAUUUCAUGGUUCUAUGUAUUUGUGAAAACUCAGAACAAUACCCUGAAAAGAGUGAUUUUCCUGCUACUGAAUGAUACCUCAAUAAAUGUGACCCAGCCUUCCAAAAAAAAAACCCAUUUCUUCCUGCUGAUUCUUGUGCAUCCCCGAUUUUUCUGUUGUGCCACCUUCUAGCUUGGAACUUGUGAAGUCUGAUUCCUUGUGUCAAUCUAAAUAGGUCUGUUACCCGUCAAUGUCAAGUGUUUCCUCACUUGUCCCUGUGUGUGUCUGCACUACGACUUCAGCUCCUUGAUGGCAGAGGGCAGAGAAUACUUACAAUACUUUGAUUGUCUUCCUUUUGUUGACUCAGCACUCACUAAUUUUGAUAGGGUGUAUUUGGUUUUUGUUUUGUUUUGUUUUUGUUUUGAGAUAGGGCCUUGCUCUCUCAUCCAGGCUGGAGCGUAGUGGUGCGAUCUCGGCUCACUGCAAACUCCACCUCCUGGGCCCAAACAAUUCUCUUGUCUCAGCCUCCCUAGCUGGGAUUACAGGUGUGUACCACCCUGCCCAGCUAGUUUUUGUAUUUUUAGUAGAGAUGGGGUUUUGCCGUGUUGGCCAGGCUGGUCUCUGAUCACCUGACCUCAAGUGAUCCGCCUGCCUUGGCCUCCCAAAGUGCUGGAAUUACAGGCGAGAGGGUAUGUUUUAAUCCAGAAGAGCAGUUUUGAUUUUGAUGAACUUUUUGGUAGCCUUUCAUUAAUUUGGUGCCCAGUCUAGCUCCUUCCUUUUUUCCCUUUGAAGUAAUUUGUUAAAACUUCACUAGAUGUUAUUGUACACACAUGAAAUGUUCUCACCAGACAGCGUGUAAAGCUGAACAUUAAACAGGAAGAUAGAAUGCCUAAUUAUUCCAAAUGUAGAAAGUAACAAGAGGACCAGUGUUUCUACUCCUUUGCCUUGAAAAGGAAAGGAGCUGUAGACUUCUGGAACAUCACAAUUUCUUUUCUCCCCAGUUGGACAAGCCACAGCCUGAAGCCUGGCAGGCCCAUCGUGCUUGUGUUUGCAAUGCCAGAAUCUAUGAUUCUAAAAGGUAUCAGGUUUCGAGAAAAAACAGAAUUCUACCUGUGAAGGAUCAGGGAGGGAUUUCCCACCCGGAGUUAGGCCGUAGGGCAAAAGGAUUGCUUUACCACCAUCAUUUGCCAAAAUAUCUGAUUUCCUUGAGUUGCACAAAAAGACAAAUCAUGGUUUAAAGAAUCCGUUUUUAUUUUUGUCUCAUCCCCUGGGAAAAUUUGGCAUGUGGAGUUCUUGAUUUUUACUGUUAGGUGUUUAACAUCACCCAUAGCUUGCCCAGCAUGUAGAAAUCUUUCUUGAAAUUACUUUCAUUUCAACACAACAACCAGCGGGAUAAUAGGAUCAGGCACUUUGUUUCUGCAAAGCAGCUUGAAGUUGGUACGCAUCAUGAACCUGGCCGAUAUGGGAGCCUUACUCAUUUCAGUCAAUAACAUCUUUAAAUGUUUAAGGAAGGGAUUAACAAACUGCUGCCAUGGGUCAAAUCUGGCCUCCCACCUGUUUUUGUAAAUGAAGUUUUAUUGAAAACCCAUCAUGCUCAUGUGUUUCUGUAUUGUCUACAGCUGCUUUUUUUUAAAAAAAAAAAAAAAAACAAACUAUAACAGCAGAGUGGUGUAGUUGCUGCGGAGAUCACAUGUCCUGCAAAGCUGAAAAUAGUUACUAUCUAACCCUUCUGAGAAAAGUUUGAUGACCCUUGCUCUAAGAGAUUACAUUUCCUAGAGUCAGUUUCAGCAUCCCCAUCCGUCCUGCACCAGGCCUCCUUAUUUUUGAGGAUGAAAAUGGAGAGCUAGCAUCUGCAGUGUGAUCCUCUCUCUCAUAAAUAUACAUAUUUUAUUUUCAAUUAAAAUAGGGAAAAAUAAUAAGAUUAUUGAGGUUUUUUUUCCCUAGAGAAAACUUAAGCAAAGAUUCCAGUUGGCCCUCUUUGUGAUAUAUGAAAUUUGUGUCUGUGUGUAUGUCCAUAUGGAACCUAAAUAAUAAAUCACCUAAAACAAUUUAUUGGAAAAAGCA